rnacentral:rRNA from 1 species
CCUGAGAAACGGCUACCACAUCCAAGGAAGGCAGCAGGCGCGCAAAUUACCCACUCCCGGCACGGGGAGGUAGUGACGAAAAAUAACGAUACGGGACUCAUCCGAGGCCCCGUAAUCGGAAUGAGCACAACUUAAAUACUUUAACGAGUAUCCAUUGGAGGGCAAGUCUGGUGCCAGCAGCCGCGGUAAUUCCAGCUCCAAUAGCGUAUAUUAAAGUUGUUGCGGUUAAAAAGCUCGUAGUUGGACUUGUGUCCCACGCCGUCGGUUCGUCGCCCGUCGACGUAACCGCACGGUUAUGUGAGUGGGACGUCCAGCCGGUAUGUGAGUGGGACGUCCAGCCGGUGGGUCGNCAGGUCGUGAGCUAUGCUGGCCGCGCCCCUUGGCGGUUCCAUAUCAUGGCCGCGUCGUGGNGUGUGUCGGGAGGUGUUUGUGUCGNNCGUUCGCGUUCGUCGAAGNAUCGCCUGGCCCGNCAAUAAAACGGCGCUGUGUUGUGGGGACCGUCUCUCACUCAGGGUGUCGCUGUGUCGGCGCACACGGUGCCGGACCCCAUGUUACUCCGUCUCGGUGCUCUUAAUCGAGUGUCUUGACGGGCCGGCUCGUUUACUUUGAACAAAUUAGAGUGCUUAAAGCAGGCCAAUUGCUGCCUGAAUAUUGUGUGCAUGGAAUAAUGGAAUAGGAUCUCGGUUCUAUUUUGUUGGUUUUCUGAACCAGAGAUAAUGAUUAAUAGAGACUGACGGGGGCAUUCGUAUUGCGACGUUAGAGGUGAAAUUCUUGGACCGUCGCAAGACGAACAUAAGCGAAAGCAUUUGCCAAGAAAGCUUUCUUUAAUCAAGAACGAAAGUUAGAGGUUCGAAGGCGAUCAGAUACCGCCCUAGUUCUAACCAUAAACGAUGCCAACUAGCGAUCCGCCGGUGUUCCUCCGAUGACCCGGCGGGCAGCUUCCGGGAAACCAAAGUGUUUGGGUUNNNNNNNNNNNNNGGUUGCAAAGCUGAAACUUAAAGGAAUUGACGGAAGGGCACCACCAGGAGUGGAGCCUGCGGCUUAAUUUGACUCAACACGGGAAACCUCACCAGGCCCGGACACUGGAAGGAUUGACAGAUUGAUAGCUCUUUCUUGAUUCAGUGGAUGGUGGUGCAUGGCCGUUCUUAGUUGGUGGAGCGAUUUGUCUGGUUAAUUCCGAUAACGAACGAGACUC